rnacentral:rRNA from 1 species
UACGAAGGGAGCUAGCGUUGUUCGGAAUCACUGGGCGUAAAGCGCACGUAGGCGGAUGUGUCAGUCAGGGGUGAAAUCCCGGAGCUCAACUUCGGAACUGCCUUUGAUACAGCACAUCUGGAGUCCGGAAGAGGUGGGUGGAAUUCCUAGUGUAGAGGUGAAAUUCGUAGAUAUCUGGAGGAACACCGGUGGCGAAGGCGGCAUCCUGGACCAACACUGACGCUGAGUGAGCGAAAGCCAGGGGAGCGAACGGG